GGAAGAGGGAGCCCAGCAAAGCUUCUUGGAGGAGGGGAUUCUUGAAAUGACCGUGCAGAUGGAGAAGCAAGUCAGCAGGGAAGGUGCUGGUGUUAUCUACAGAGAGUGGCCUAGCACAGUUGGUCUAGGCCCUAGUCAGGCGUGAAUUGUGCCUCCAACUCCUGGUUGUGUGUCUGGGUGCCUUACCUAAUUACCUGGUGCCUUGAUUCUGAUUUCCUCAACUCUCAGGCAGGAGGAAUUAUGCAAGACAGGAUCAAGAGCGAGCUUCCCAAGACCCUCCUGCUGAUUGCCAUGCCAGGUCAUAAAAGGAAACACACUUACUGGGGAAGAUGAGGAUCAGAUGAAGUACAAGAUCCAGUUUCCAUGUUCUGUUUCACUCAAAGUUGAAAUGCACCCUGAUUUGCCUUAACCUCCCAGUGGACCUCUGCUUGGAGACACCAACAGACAACACAGAAGGCCUCUAUCAUUUUGAUGGCCAGCUUGCUGGGUGAUCUUCGAAAGUUGUUUCCUUUCUCUGUGCCUGCUCUUCAAAACUGGAGAAAUGGGUUCCCUUCAUGAGGCUAUCAAACAAGCCAGCAUGCUGAGAUCUGCAAGGCUGUGCUUUUUACACUACCCCAGCCCUGCCGCCUCUCAGGAAGGAAUGGGGACCUCUGGGCACCAUCUACCUACCUACCUGUUUGUGAAAUAGCGCAUGCCUACCGUGUUCUAGGUUGCUGGUCUUGGCUCAGGUGAUACAUCUGAGGAUAACUCACAUGA